rnacentral:lncRNA from 1 species
AUCAAUUGAUUGUACUGCAUUGAAAUUUUACGAACCUAAAGUUUUGUAUACAAUAAUUACUCGAUAACAACUUGCCAUAAAUAAUGACAACCCAUAAAUCAAACAUAACCAUUUAUCAGUGUUGCAAUUAUGGAUUUACAUUGAUCCACCAUUAUCUGAUUGGGACCUUAAUACAAUUUUUGUUCAAUAAAAUAUUUGUUAACAAAUUUGUUGCUUAUAUAAUGGGUAAUCAUAAGAUGACAACCAAGACAAUCAAUGGGAUGAUUGCCUAGGCUAUAAAAAUUACUUUAGUAAGUGACGUUGAUAGUAAAUAAGUAAGUUCAAAGGUAAAUUAGUAAUUUCAUUUGUCAAAGUUGGGAAUGAGUAAGUUACUUAUUGUGACAGUUAACCCCUACUUUAGUAACCUUUUUGUUCAUAAAUAAGAAAAAAAAAUUUAUUCAAGUAUAUUACGAGUAAAACUUAUUAGUCUGACUUAUUUAUAUAGUAAGCUAAAUUAUACUUUUUCAAGAAUAGGACAUCUAAGACAAAGGUAAAAGUAGGGGUGGCCAUAAGAUCCAAACUAUUUUGUUUAAAAUUAAUUCAGUUCUCGGUUUUAAGAGACCGAGAACCUAUUCUUUUAGGGUUGAUGCACACCAACCAAUGUGAAUCAAUUAAAAAUCAGGCAAAGCCUCACAAAUGAGCAAAUCACACAAUUUUUUGCCCACCUAAUCUUCUUCCCUUCGCAGCCAUCCAUAAGCUCACUACUGUCACCAUCGGCCUUCUCUCCAUUUCCUUCAGGUUUAUAGAAGAUGUGCAACACGCCACCAGCAGUGGAGCCCCCCAUAAGGCCACUGAAUUUGGGCCUCCCAUUUUAAAAUCUACCUAGGCCUGUUCCUACCCAGCCCAAUGCUUCAAUAUUGGAAAAAAAAAUUGAAAUCUUCUAAAAUGGGCCAACUGAACCUAAUUACCCAAAUAAUCACCCAUAAUUACCCAAUUAUCUGCCAGUCCCAUUAACCCUAAAGAAAACAGGAAGAAGGACUUAGUGCUCCGCCGGCGACUCCAACCAGCAAAUCCAGACGGCAUACUGACUCCCCGACUUCAUUCCCUCCAACACCAAAGUCCAAGCUAUUUAGUUAAUAGUUAGGACUUAGGUAAAUAAAUCCUUUAAUCCUUCUCUAUUUUUCUAAUUUUUUUGGUGGGU